rnacentral:rRNA from 1 species
ACGAACGUUGGCGGCGUGGAUUAGGCAUGCAAGUCGAACGUAUACCGGAGGGGUAACUCUUCGGGACAAGUGGCGAAAGGGGCAGUAAGGCGUGGGUAACCUACCUCGGGGUCCGGGAUAGCCAUCCUAACGGGUGGGUAAUACUGGGCGAGGUGGCUGGAGCGCAUGUUUCGGCCAUGAGAUGAAUUUCGCCUCGAGAGGGGCUCACGUGGUAUUAGCUAGUUGGUAGGGUAACGGCCUACCAAGGCGAAGAUGCCUAGCGGGUGUGAGAGCACGACCCGCGCCACUGGCACUGAGACACUGGCCAGACUCCUACGGGAGGCUGCAGUCGAGGAUCUUCGGCAAUGGGCGCAAGCCUGACCGAGCGACGCCGCGUGUGCGAUGAAGGCCUUCGGGUUGUAAAGCACUUUGGCAGGGGAGGAAAGCCGAAAGGUCUGACCUAUCCUGAGAACAAGCACGGGCUACGUUCGU